rnacentral:rRNA from 1 species
GAAUUCGCCCUUAGAGUUUCCUUUUGGCUCAGGAUGAACGCUGGCGGCGUGCUUAACACAUGCAAGUUGAACGAAGCAUCUUGACCUCUUCGGAUAGACGGAUGACUGAGUGGCGGACGGGUGAGUAACGCGUGGGUAACCUGCCUCGUACAGGGGGACAACAGUUGGAAACGACUGCUAAUACCGCAUAAGCGCACGGCAUCGCAUGAUGCAGUGUGAAAAGCUGAGGCGGUACGAGAUGGACCCGCGUUGGAUUAGGUAGUUGGUGAGAUAACAGCCCACCAAGGCGACGAUCGGUAGCCGACCUGAGAGGGUGAUCGGCCACAUUGGAACUGAGAAACGGUCCAGACUCCUACGGGAGGCAGCAGUGGGGAAUAUUGGGCAAUGGGGGAAACCCUGACCCAGCAACGCCGCGUGAAGGAUGAAGGUCUUCGGAUUGUAAACUUCUUUGAUUAAGGACGAAUAUUGACGGUACUUAAAGAACAAGUCACGGCUAACUACGUGCCAGCAGCCGCGGUAAUACGUAGGUGACAAGCGUUAUCCGGAUUUACUGGGUGUAAAGGGCGUGUAGGCGGUUUGGCAAGUCAGAUGUGAAAUUCCCGGGCUUAACUUGGGCGCUGCAUCUGAAACUGCUUAACUUGAGUGCUGGAGAGGAUAGCGGAAUUCCUAGUGUAGCGGUAAAAUGCGUAGAUAUUAGGAGGAACACCAGUGGCGAAGGCGGCUUUCUGGACUGAAACUGACGCUGAGGCGCGAAAGCGUGGGGAGCAAACAGGAUUAGAUACCCUGGUAGUCCACGCGGUAAACGAUG